rnacentral:tRNA from 1 species
GGGCGGGUAGCUCAGUUGGUAGAGCAGUAUCUUUCCUUAUUCACUUCCUCACCUGCAAAGGUCGAAGAAUUUAGGGUUACCUGACGGGAGUUCGAGUCUCCCCCCGUCCACCA